rnacentral:rRNA from 1 species
AUGGCACGCCGUUGCCACAACAAACUGGGCUUGAAGAAGACACAUCCGUCCAGAUCCAUCGUCAAAGAAGGCCCCUGCCUCCUCGCCUGGCUCGAAGGCGCCGCACCGUUGAAGGAUGGACAUGCUCACCCUAGAGCCUGGAAGGAUGGCAUCGAAGAAGCCACUUGGGCGGAACCAGGCAUUCCCAACAUGCCGGCGACGACUCACCUAGAGCAGAGCAACACCAUACGCCAUAGUUCUGACUUGAAAGAGGGCGAGCAGUCAGAAUGCAUUGGGCAGCAGCAAGGCCAAGAUCUGAUUGGGAGCAACGGCUCGGUCGACGAGCUGAAGUGCAGCCACCGUAGGAGGGGAACCCUAUCCCCUCCCGUCCUGGAGAUCCAUGGGCACCGGAGGAAUACACUGCAGCCCGGCGCAGAGCACCACAACAACUUGACCCAGCACCCAGGGAGACACCGCCACCGCUGGAUGCACGCUGCCGCCGCCGACACACUCCACCUACACCACAGUGAAGCCCACAACCCAUCCUUGUUCCCAAAACAGCGCCUUCAUGAAGGUUACGGCGCCAAGGGCGUCGCCGCUACCCAACAAAGUUGA